AGUGAACGCUGGCGGUAGGCCUAACACAUGCAAGUCGAACGGCAGCACAGUAAGAGCUUGCUCUUACGGGUGGCGAGUGGCGGACGGGUGAGGAAUACAUCGGAAUCUACUUUUUCGUGGGGGAUAACGUAGGGAAACUUACGCUAAUACCGCAUACGACCUACGGGUGAAAUCAGGGGAUCUUCGGACCUUGCGCGAUUGAAUGAGCCGAUGUCGGAUUAGCUAGUUGGCGGGGUAAAGGCCCACCAAGGCGACGAUCCGUAGCUGGUCUGAGAGGAUGACCGGCCACACUGGAACUGAGACACGGUCCAGACUCCUACGGAGGGCGGCGGUGGGGAAUAUUGGAAAAUGGGGGCAAGCCUGAUCAAGACAUACCGCGUGGGUGAAGAAGGCCUUCGGGUUGAAAGGCCCGUUUUUAGGGAAAGAAAAGCAGCAGGUUAAUACCCCGCUGUUCUGACGGUACCCAAAGAAUAAGCACCGGCUAACUACGUG
rnacentral:rRNA from 1 species